UACGGGGGGGGCAAGCGUUGUUCGGAAUUACUGGGCGUAAAGGGCUCGUAGGUGGCCAACUAAGUCAGACGUGAAAUCCCUCGGCUUAACCGGGGAACUGCGUCUGAUACUGGUUGGCUUGAGUUUGGGAGAGGGAUGCGGAAUUCCAGGUGUAGCGGUGAAAUGCGUAGAUAUCUGGAGGAACACCGGUGGCGAAGGCGGCAUCCUGGACCAACACUGACACUGAGGAGCGAAAGCCAGGGGAGCAAACGGG
rnacentral:rRNA from 1 species